CACGUAGGGCGCAAGCGUUGUCCGGAAUGAUUGGGCGUAAAGAGCUCGUAGGCGGUCUGUUGCGUCCGCUGUGAAAACUCGGGGCUUAACCCCGAGCCUGCAGUGGAUACGGGCAGACUAGAGGUAGGUAGGGGAGAAUGGAAUUCCCGGUGUAGCGGUGAAAUGCGCAGAUAUCGGGAGGAACACCGGUGGCGAAGGCAGAUCUCUGGGCCGUAACUGACGCUGAGACGCGAAAGCGUGGGGAGCAAACAGG
rnacentral:rRNA from 1 species